rnacentral:rRNA from 1 species
CAGUGGAUCUUCAUGUGUAGCUGUGAAAUGCGUAGAUAUAUGGAAGAACACCAGUGGCGAAGGCGGCUGUCUGGUCUGUAACUGACGCUGAGGCUCGAAAGCAUGGGUAGCAAACAGGAUUAGAUACCCUGGUAGUCCAUGCCGUAAACGAUGAGUGCUAGGUGUUGGAGGGUUUCCGCCCUUCAGUGCCGCAGCUAACGCAUUAAGCACUCCGCCUGGGGAGUACGACCGCAAGGUUGAAACUCAAAGGAAUUGACGGGGGCCCGCACAAGCGGUGGAGCAUGUGGUUUAAUUCGAAGCAACGCGAAGAACCUUACCAGGUCUUGACAUCCUUUGACCACUCUAGAGAUAGAGCUUUCCCUUCGGGGACAAAGUGACAGGUGGUGCAUGGUUGUCGUCAGCUCGUGUCGUGAGAUGUUGGGUUAAGUCCCGCAACGAGCGCAACCCUUAUUACUAGUUGCCAGCAUUUAGUUGGGCACUCUAGUGAGACUGCCGGUGACAAACCGGAGGAAGGUGGGGACGACGUCAAAUCAUCAUGCCCCUUAUGACCUGGGCUACACACGUGCUACAAUGGAUGGUACAACGAGUUGCGAGACCGCGAGGUUUAGCUAAUCUCUUAAAACCAUUCUCAGUUCGGAUUGUAGGCUGCAACUCGCCUACAUGAAGCCGGAAUCGCUAGUAAUCGCGGAUCAGCAUGCCGCGGUGAAUACGUUCCCGGGCCUUGUACACACCGCCCGUCACACCAUGAGAGUUUGUAACACCCAAAGCCGGUGAGGUAACCCUUCGGGGAGCCAGCCGUCUAAG